GAUGAAGAACGUAGCGAAAUGCGAUAAGUAAUGUGAAUUGCAGAAUUCAGUGAAUCAUCGAAUCUUUGAACGCACAUUGCGCCCGCUAGUAUUCUAGCAGGCAUGCCUGUUCGAGCGUCAUUUCAACCCUCAAGCUAUGCUUGGUGUUGGGGUCCUACUUUGUAGGCCCUAAAAACUAGUGGCGGGCUCGCUAUAACUCCGAGCGUAGUAGUAAUAUAUCGCUAGGGAAGUGUAGCGGGUUCUAGCCGUAAAACCCCCCCACUUUAACAGGUUGACCUCGGAUCAGGUAGGAAUACCCGCUGAACUUAAGCAUAUCAAUAAGCGGAGGA
rnacentral:misc_RNA from 1 species